rnacentral:rRNA from 1 species
UACGGAGGGGGCUAGCGUUGUUCGGAAUUACUGGGCGUAAAGCACACGUAGGCGGGCUGGCCAGUUGGGGGUGAAAUCCCGAGGUUUUAACUCGGAAGUGCCCUCAAUACUGCCAGUCUAGAGUCCGGGAGAGUUGAGUGGAAUUCCUAGUGUAGAGGUGAAAUUAGUAGAUAUUAGGAAGAACACCAGUGGCGAAGGCGGCUCACUGGCCCAGUACUGACGCUGAGGCGCGAAAGCGUAGGGAGCAAACAGG